UGUGGGUCAUAAGCCCGGCUGUGACGGCAUAUUUGAUUGGCUGAGUGGAGGACAGGACGCCUGCUGAAAGUUGUUUUCAGAUUUCUCUCUCUCUCUCUCUCUCUCUCUCUCUCUCUCUCUCUCUCUCUCUCUCUCUCUCUCUCUCUAAGAGAACUCUGUUGAUGAUCUCAUACAUCCGUCACAUAGCUAACUAAAAUUAGCCUGGUGUUUCCUUCCUUAUAGACACACCAUUUAAUCCCAUUCAUAAUUCUGCUCGUCUUGCACUGCCAUACUUAUCCUCAGUGCUGUGUCAGGUAUGGCUGCACGACACAACAUUCUGGUACAGGGGAGAAAAAUUCGCUCUGGGUUGUUUGGAUUUCUUUAAACCAAUCACAAUCGGCUCAGGCGGCGCUAAGCCCCGGAUGCAGUGGCGAUGCCCUUACAAGAUAAAUGACGGAGAUAGCAGAAGGGGACCGCACUGUACAGCCGGUCAGAAUUUGGUUUGACUAGACUGAAAGUCCAACCUGAAGGCUGCGUUCAAAUGCAAGGGUGUUAAAACAGAUGGCUUCAAGAAAAAAACCGCAGUGUCGGCCUGCAAAACCGUUUAACGUGGUCCAACUUUUGCCUGGAUGCAGUGUAACCAACGCCAUCUACCAAGGCCCUGCGUUGGCCAAUCAACGCCGUGCAAGCUCACAUUCCUGGUUAAUUACUUUGUAACAUAAACAGUGUAAUGUAUAUUAAAAACUGACGACACGUCUUCAAAUUCAUUGAUCUAUUACUCAAA